UUCGCAAUGCCCGAAAGGGUGACGAAGCGACGCCGCGUGGGUGAGGAAGGCCUUCGGGUUGUAAAGCCCUGUCAGGAGUUAAGAAAUAUAAGUGCGCUAAUAUCGCAUUUAUUUGACGAAGGCUCCAAAGGAAGCCACGGCUAACUCUGUGCCAGCAGCCGCGGUAAUACAGAGGUGGCUAGCGUUGUUCGGAAUUAUUGGGCGUAAAGAGCACGUAGGUGGGUUUGUAAGUCAGAUGUGAAAGCCUUCUGUUCAACGGAAGAAUUUCAUCUGAAACUACAAGUCUUGAGUGUAGGAGGGGGGAAUGGAACUUCCGGUGGAGCGGUGAAAUGCGUAGAUAUCAGAAGGAACGCCGGCGGCGAAAGCGAUUCUCUGGCCUAUUACUGACACUCAGUGUGCGAAAGCUAGGGGAGCAAACGGGAUUAGAUACCCCGGUAGUCCUAGCUGUAAACGAUGGGCACUAAGUAGAGGGGUUUU
rnacentral:rRNA from 1 species